AGUGAACGCUGGCGGUAGGCCUAACACAUGCAAGUCGAACGGCAGCACAGUAAGUGCUUGCUCUUACGGGCGGCGAGUGGCGGACGUGUGAGGAAUACAUCGGAAUCUACUUUUUCGUGGGGGAUAACGUAGGGAAACUUACUCUAAUACCGCAUACGACCUACGAUUGCAUGCAGGGGAUCUUCUGCCCUUGCGCGUUUGCAUGAGCCGAUGUCGGAUUAGCUAGUUGGCGGGGUAUAGGCCCACCAAGGCGACGAUCCGUCGCUGGUCUGUGAGGAUGAACAGCGACACUGGAGGUGAGACACGGUCCAGACUCCUACGGGCGGCAGCAGUGGGGAAUAUUGGACAAUGGGCGGAAUCCUGAUCCAUGCAUGCCGCGUGGGUGAAGAAGGCCUUCGUGGUGUAAGGCCCUUUUGUGGGGAAAGAAAAGCAGCAGGUGAAAAGCCCGCUGUUGUGACGGUACCCAAAGAAUAAGCACCGGCUAACUUCGUG
rnacentral:rRNA from 1 species